GAAUUUCCGUAACGGGGAAGGAUGAGAAGCUUCGACUAAGGUUCGAUUCGAGCGUAGCGAGAAAGCGUUGCCGCAGGCAACGACCCGAAGGGCGAGGCGCAGCCGCCACCCGGCGACA
rnacentral:sRNA from 1 species